rnacentral:rRNA from 1 species
GACGAACGCUGGCGGCGUGCUUAACACAUGCAAGUCGAACGGAAAGGCCCUGCUUGCAGGGUACUCGAGUGGCGAACGCGUGAGUAACACGCGGGAGAACUGUCCUGCACGUCGGGAUAAGCCUGGGAAACUGUGUCUAAUACCGGAUAGAAGCCAUCCUUAGUGUGAUUGUUGGAAAGUGUUUUCGGUGUAGGAGGAGCUCGCGGGCUAUCUGCUUGUUGGUGGGGUAAUGGCCUACCAAGGCGGCGACGGGUAGCCGGCCCGAAAGGGUGGACGGCCACAUUGGGACUGGGAUUACGGCCAGACUCCUACGGGAAGCAGGAGUGGGGAAUAAUGGACAAAGGGGGCGAGGCUGAUGGAAGGAAGCCGGGUGGGGGGUGACGGGCUUCGGGUUGUAAACUCCUUUCGCUAGGGACGAAGCUGUUAGUGACGGUACCUGGAUAAGAAGCACCGGCUAACUACGUG